GACGAACGCUGGCGGCGUGCUUAACACAUGCAAGUCGAACGCUGAAGCCCGCUUGCGGGUGGGAUGAGUGGCGAACGGGUGAGUAACACGUGAGUAACCUGCCCUUCACUUUGGGAUAACCUUCGGAAACGGGGGCUAAUACUGGAUAUGACUCAUGGCCGCAUGGUUGUGGGUGGAAAGAUUCUUUUGGUGGGGGGAUGGGGCUCGCGGCCUAUCAGCUUGUUGGUGGGGUGAUGGCCUACCAAGGCGACGACGGGUAGCCGGCCUGAGAGGGCGACCGGCCACACUGGGACUGAGACACGGCCCAGACUCCUACGGGAGGCAGCAGUGGGGAAGUAUUGCACAAAUGGGCGGCAAGCCUGAUGCAGCGACGCCGCGUGGGGGA
rnacentral:rRNA from 1 species